CGGUAACAGGAAGCAGCUUGCUGCUUCGCUGACGAGUGGCGGACGGGUGAGUAAUGUCUGGGAAGCUGCCUGAUGGAGGGGGAUAACUACUGGAAACGGUAGCUAAUACCGCAUAAUGUCGCAAGACCAAAGAGGGGGACCUUCGGGCCUCUUGCCAUCGGAUGUGCCCAGAUGGGAUUAGCUUGUUGGUGGGGUAACGGCUCACCAAGGCGACGAUCCCUAGCUGGUCUGAGAGGAUGACCAGCCACACUGGAACUGAGACACGGUCCAGACUCCUACGGGAGGCAGCAGUGGGGAAUAUUGCACAAUGGGCGCAAGCCUGAUGCAGCCAUGCCGCGUGUAUGAAGAAGGCCUUCGGGUUGUAAAGUACUUUCAGCGGGGAGGAAGGGAGUAAAGUUAAUACCUUUGCUCAUUGACGUUACCCGCAGAAGAAGCACCGGCUAACUCCGUGCCAGCAGCCGCGGUAAUACGGAGGGUGCAAGCGUUAAUCGGAAUUACUGGGCGUAAAGCGCACGCAGGCGGUUUGUUAAGUCAGAUGUGAAAUCCCCGGGCUCAACCUGGGAACUGCAUCUGAUACUGGCAAGCUUGAGUCUCGUAGAGGGGGGUAGAAUUCCAGGUGUAGCGGUGAAAUGCGUAGAGAUCUGGAGGAAUACCGGUGGCGAAGGCG
rnacentral:rRNA from 1 species